GUUCUCAUAUUUGAGGUUGACUAGGAAAGGCACCAUUCCAGCUUGCAGAUCCAAUGCAUGUGGCUUUACCCUGUAAAUUUGUGUCAUGUUAUAACAGCCAUGUGAUAUAUCAUUGUACUUUGUCCCUACUUUGAUCCCUUCAGUUCAUGUACCUGUUCCGUUGCUUUCAUGCGCAGAAAGAAAGCAAUGAAAAUACAUAUUUCGAAAUUUAUAUACCAAAUCCUAACCUCAGAUAACAUGUUCCCUUGAAUGCCUAAUAAACACUAAUCAGUGAUCUUGUACUUGUACCCUACUACCUUCUUAUUUCACCAAACAAUUUACAUUAGUAAAACAAAUGAUGCUAAGGAAUAUAACA
rnacentral:lncRNA from 1 species